rnacentral:rRNA from 1 species
UACAGAGGGGGCAAGCGUUAUUCGGAAUUAUUGGGCGUAAAGCGCACGUAGGCGGCUUUGUAAGUUAGGGGUGAAAGCCCGGGGCUCAACUCCGGAAUUGCCUUUAAGACUGCAUCGCUAGAAUUGUGGAGAGGUAAGUGGAAUUCCGAGUGUAGAGGUGAAAUUCGUAGAUAUUCGGAAGAACACCAGUGGCGAAGGCGACUUACUGGACACAUAUUGACGCUGAGGUGCGAAAGCGUGGGGAGCAAACAGG